rnacentral:lncRNA from 1 species
AUGAGUGGGGCGGCUGGCCAAGGGGCCUUGCCCGGGCCGAGCGUGCGUGAGCUCCCGGCGGAGAGACCGGGCCUGUGCGUGGGACCCAGCCGGUCCGGACGCGGAGUCCGGCGGCCGUGGGGGAAGAGAUGGGGUGCAGGGGUGUUCCGAGGGCGUGGAACUAGGCGCCGGGCGAGGUCUUCCGUGCGGGAGACGCGCUGCGUGAAUGCGGACAGGCUGCCGAACCGUCGGCGGCCAUGGGGGAGAAGACAAGCAGCGGGAAAAGCCCAGGCCUCGGGGGAAAACGAGGCUGCGGGAACACCUGGCGCUGUAGUCUCGAAGGAGGCUGCACGAGACCGUGGGACCGUGUGGGUAAACGGGGCUGUGGGGGAACCGCAGGUGGUGGGGCCUGUCGGCUCUGUAUGGGUGACUGGCACUGGGGAGGAGGAGACGGUUUACAGGAGUCCCCCGGGCUGUGAGAGAAAAGGUCGUCCGGGAUCCUUGGGGCAUGGGAGCAUUCUGGAACUGUGGUUGAAGGUGCAGGCUCUGAGGGCAGCGUCAGGAGGUGGGCAACGAAGCAGAGUCGAGCUCCAUCCUGUGCCCGCAGGAGAGGGCCCGAUUGAAAGGGGGGUUCCUGGCCGGGCUUCGUGGGUAGAGACCAGCCGUGAAGGUCUCACCGGACCCUGGGUGAAAGGACAGGCGGGGGCAGACCCCCGGGGCCGGGGACUAUCCAUCCCUCCGGGCCCAGGGGCAGGCUGUGAGAGGGCCAUGGGCUGCUGUGGGCAGGGCCAGGCUGUAAGGAUGCCAUCUGUGGCUAUGCCUGGAACUCUGGAGGCAAAUUCCGGGAUUGCCCCACACCUGCCUGGGAGGGGACAAGCUGUGGGGGUCCCUGGGCCCUUGGAGGGGAUUGGCUAUGGGGUUGCCCCCAGCUCUUCAGUAAAAGGACUGACUGUGGGGGUGCCCGGGGUCACGGGGUGGCCUGAGGCUGUGGAGGUACCCAGAGCUGUGGCGGGAGAGCUCUGCUGGGGGGGGGCUCCAGAUCCUUGGGGGAGACAGCGAGCAGCACAGGUGCCUGGGGCUCUGGCACAGGGGGUGAUCUGUGGGCAUACCACAGGCUUUUGGGGGAGAGGGCAGACCGCAGUUGUGCACAGAACAGCCCAAGGGGACACCCCCUCUGUGGAUGCCCCAGCCGUGUGGCGGAGGAGACGAGCUGUGGGGGAGACGGGCACCAGACAGCCUGUAGAGGUGCCUUGUGUGAUUGAAGAGGGAGUGAGAUGUGGGGGUGACCCGUGCUACAGGGAAAGGGGACAGGCCGGGUGGGCAGAGACAGGCUCUGGGGGCAACUCAGGGUCCUGGGAAGCUGCCCAGACUGCAGGCUGGGCAAUGUGUGGUCCCGAGGAGCAGGAGGCAGGCCCUGGCAGUGUUCCAGGCCACUGGGGUAUAGGACAGGCUACAGGGGUACCUUGGGCUCCCGGGACAGAGACAGGGUGUGGGUGUGUCCUGGGCCUGUGGGGAACACAGCAGCCAUUGGGGGUGUCCCAGGCGGUGGGAUUAUCGGGGACCAGAGGAGUGCAGACCAGUUGCUGCUGCGUCCCGGGCCUGUGGGCUAGACAGCAGGCUCUGGGGGUGCCUCUGGCUGAGGCAGUGCCGGCCGUGGUCAGAGAGGAGACCUAUGGUGGGAACGUCUUGGGUCUCCUGGAAAGGAGGCAGGCCCUAGGGGAGCAGGAGGCUGUAGUGCCCGCCACUGUAGGGGGUCCUGGGUCUGUGUGUCAGGAGACUGGCUGUGGGGACUCUUCCUGUCUCUGCCUAAGGAGACAGGCUGUAGGGCUGUCUGAGCUCGUGAGGGUGCCAGAGACAGCUGGGGUGUCCAGCUACAGGUGUGCCCUAGCUCCAUGUGAGCUAAGUUCUGGGAGUGAAGCUGCCAGGGUGCCCGCCGCUGUGUGGGUGUCUGACUCUGUGGGUCAGGAAGACAGCUCCAGGGAGGACUGGAACCUGCGGGCAGGGGUUCAUCCUGCCAGGAGACCCACGGCUUCAGGGGUACCCAUGGCUCCCCAGGAGCUGUGGUUGGCGGGGGAGGAUGCUGGCUUGUGGGGAAGGAGACAGAGUGCCAGGGUGCCCGUGGCUGCUGAGGUGCCCCGGGCUCCUGGGGUGUGUGGUUCCCUGGGGGUGGAGACUGGCUCUGGAGAUUUCUCGCACUUGCCGGGGAGGAGACAGACAGCAGGAGUUUCUCUGACUGCAGGGGUGUUUGCAGAUGCUGGAGUGCCCGUGGCUCUCAGGGCGCCUCGGCCUGUGCAGGAGUUGGCUGGUUCUGGAGGCGUCUCAGGCUUGUGCAGGGAGAGAGAGACAGUGUGGGGACCUAUGGAUGCCGUGGAUCCCACCAGAAUGGGGAUGCCCACCACUGCCAGAGUGCCUGGGCCCAUGAGUGAAGAGAUGGGGCCUAGGGGCAUCUCAGGCUUGGUGAGAGGGAGACAGUCUGGGGGAGCAUGUGUGGCCAUGGGGCUGCACACAGCCAUGGGGAUGCCAGGGCCUGUGGGGGAGGAGAUGCUCUCUGGGCAUUUCUCGAGCUUAUCAGGAAGCAGACAGACUGCUGAGGUGCCGAUGGCGGCUGCCAGCAUUUCCCUGACGGUGGGGGUGCCCACAGCUGCCGGGGCCCCUGGACCGCUGGUGGGCGAUGUUAUUUCUGGGGAUAGCUCAGGUGAAUGGGGAAGGAGACCCGUGACUGAGGUGCCCGUGGCUGCCAGGGCUGUAGGACUUGUGGACGGGGAGACUGGCUCUGAAGGCGUUGCAGACCCAUGGAGGAGACCUGACGGAGCCAUCCCUGAGGCUGCGAGAGUGCCUCUGUCUUUGGGGGUGCUUGCAGCUGUAGGAGUUCCCAUGGCAGGGCCCAGGCCUGCGGUGGUGUGGGUGACUGGGCCUGCAGGAGAAGAACCCAGGGCAGCUGUCUCAGACCUCACAGGGGUGAGGAGACAGUUCACAGAGGGCCCCAGGGCUCCCCGCACAGGGGAGAUCGGAGGUAGAAAUGUCCUGGCGCUGGCUGGGAGGAGCCAGCCAGUGGGGGUGUCUUACACCUGUGGGCAUGGGACCAGGUUAUGGAGGUGCCUGAGGUCAGCGGGGGAAGAACUGGACUAUGAGAAUGUGCCAGGAGUGUCCAGAACAGGUGUGACUGUGGGGGAGAAUGGAGCUGAGGAGGUGCCCCCAGUUUCACGGGAGGAGACAGGCAGCGGCCUCAUCAGAGAUCACGCACGGCAGGGUGGGAGGAGACAGGCUGGAGGAGAGUCUGCUGUCAGGGCAGGGGGGAACAAUUUGGGAGACAGUUUUGAAGGGGAGGACAGAUUGAGGGGGGUGUUCCACUAG